UUGGCCACCACCACCGACUGGGGCAAGAGAGAAGGAGAGAAGGAAGAUGCCGUGGUGACCGGCGGUACGGAUCUUCUUCACGCGCGAGGUAUUGGGAUGGAUGCACUCGGUUCGUUGGUCGACGGCGAGCUUCGAUGCUUGCGUUGUCGUCGGGGGGCGGAGAAGGACCUCGUGGCCACCAGAAUUUCUCACCCAUGCCGCUGCUCCGCCGCGGAACCACUAGCGCCGUGGUCGGAGAAUAUCGGCAUCCUCACCAUUGGCAGCGCCACCGUUACCAGGCUUGGGCGAUGGGGGUGGAAUAUGGGCCGUCAAUCCCAGAUGAAGGGCUGGGAUUUGAUCCCGGAUUCUGGUUUGGCCUGA
rnacentral:misc_RNA from 1 species